GACGAACGCUGGCGGCGUGCCUAAUACAUGCAAGUAGAACGCUGAAGGAGGAGCUUGCUUCUCUGGAUGAGUUGCGAACGGGUGAGUAACGCGUAGGUAACCUGCCUGGUAGCGGGGGAUAACUAUUGGAAACGAUAGCUAAUACCGCAUAAUAUUGACUAUUGCACGAUAGUCAGUUGAAAGGUGCAACUGCACCACUACCAGAUGGACCUGCGUUGUAUUAGCUAGUUGGUGGGGUAACGGCUCACCAAGGCGACGAUACAUAGCCGACCUGAGAGGGUGAUCGGCCACACUGGGACUGAGACACGGCCCAGACUCCUACGGGAGGCAGCAGUAGGGAAUCUUCGGCAAUGGACGGAAGUCUGACCGAGCAACGCCGCGUGAGUGAAGAAGGUUUUCGGAUCGUAAAGCUCUGUUGUAAGAGAAGAACGAGUGUGAGAGUGGAAAGCUCACACUGUGACGGUAUCUUACCAGAAAGGGACGGCUAACUACGUG
rnacentral:rRNA from 1 species